UACGAAGGGGGCUAGCGUUGCUCGGAUUGACUGGGCGUAAAGGGCGCGUAGGCGGUUCGUACAGUCAGACGUGAAAUUCCUGGGCUCAACCUGGGGGCUGCGUUUGAUACGUGCGGACUUGAGUGCGGAAGAGGGUCGUGGAAUUCCCAGUGUAGAGGUGAAAUUCGUAGAUAUUGGGAAGAACACCGGUGGCGAAGGCGGUUACCUGGAGCUUUGCUGACGCUGAUGCGCGAAAGCGUGGGGAGCGAUCCGG
rnacentral:rRNA from 1 species